rnacentral:hammerhead_ribozyme from 1 species
ACCCAGCUGACGAGUCCUAAAUGGGAUGAAACGCAUGUCCUGAAU